UGAGAGUCAAGCCAUUAAUUAAUUUGAAUUAUCUUAAUUUUUGGUUUGCUUGGUCUUAAAUUAUUGAUCGUUUUUGUUUGCAUUUAUUUUCAUUCUUUUAUUUUUUAGCUUGGCUUGUGAGAAUUGUAAAUAAAGAUAUACAUAUAUUCUUUCACACACAUAUCACAUGUAUAUACAUCACAUGAGCUCUAUACCCAAGCUUUGUCUUCUUUAGGAAGGAGUAAAGUAU
rnacentral:lncRNA from 1 species